rnacentral:lncRNA from 1 species
UUCUAAAUCUAGCUUCCAAAUUUUAGCACUCUGCCACUAUGCCAUACUCCCACUAUAAAACCCUGUAAAAUCAUAAACCAGCACAUGAAAAUCACUCUUCUGGAACCAACCUCAUACCUACCACCGUACUCAUUCUCUUAAUCAAAACACUGUUUGAAACCAUAAGCACUUUUACUCAAAACCCACCUUCUUCCCUCAUUGUAAACACCAUCUUUGUUGCCAACAUCAGACGAAGUUGAUGGCGUCAAAAGGCCUAGCUAGAACUAUUGUGUAACGGCACUGCCCGAACUAGCACUAAUUAUCAAAUUUUCUAUUUUUAUUUUCUCAGACUGGGGAAUCUAGCAAUACGAAGCUCUAACUGCUAUUAUUACUGCUUCUAUUAUGUUCCAACUCUUAACAUCCUGCAUAACACUGGUAAAGAAAAAUAGGGGUGAGUAAAAAUUCAGUGAGAAAAGAAACAAAUUACAAAGAGAAACAGACAAAGUUUUAAAUAAAUUUAUACAAUACUAUACUCAUUUUGGACACUUUCUGCUAGAGAAAAUAUUGCUAAAGUGUGGAUAUAUAUAUUUGAUCAAAACAUUCUAGUUGGACAAAUAAAAUUUUAUAAAAAUCAUUAAAUAAAUAAGCAAUUCCAUAUAUAUAUAUCUAAGAUUACAAAUAUUUUUUCUGCUCUGUAAUCAAUUAAUUGCAUAAUCUUGAAUCCACCCGAAAAAAAUUUUGCUAUUAAUUUAAAUUAUAUAAUCAUAUUAAAGAAAAACAAUAACAAAUAAUUCAAUCGAAAACAGUAUACACUUAUAGAUGUAUCCUACUGAUUUCUG